AGUGAACGCUGGCGGUAGGCCUAACACAUGCAAGUCGAACGGCAGCACAGUAAGAGCUUGCUCUGACGGGUGGCGAGUGGCGGACGGGUGAGGAAUACAUCGGAAUCUACUUUUUCGUGGGGGAUAACGUAGGGAAACUUACGCUAAUACCGCAUACGACCUACGGGUGAAAGCAGGGGAUCUUCGGACCUUGCGCGAUUGAAUGAGCCGAUGUCGGAUUAGCUAGUUGGCGGGGUAAAGGCCCACCAAGGCGACGAUCCGUAGCUGGUCUGAGAGGAUGAUCAGCCACAAUGGAACUGAGACCCGGUCCAGCCUCCUACGGGAGGCCGGAGUGGGGAAUUUUGGACAAGGGGCGCAAGCCUGAUCCCGCCAUCCCGGGUGGGGGAAGAAGGCCUUCGGGUUGGAAAGCCCUUUUUUUGGGAAAAAAAAGCAGCAGGUUAAACCCCCGCUGUUCUGACGGUACCCAAAAAAUAAGCACCGGCUAACUUCGU
rnacentral:rRNA from 1 species